AGCAACAUAUUCACUGGACGGC
rnacentral:miRNA from 1 species